ensembl:lncRNA
AUGUGGUCUAUUGCCUGGUGUAUUGCCUGGUGUAUUAUCUGGUCUAUUGCCUGGUCUCCCACGUGGUCUAUUGCCUGGUGUAUUGCCUGGUGUAUUAUCUGGUCUAUUGCCUGGUCUCCCAUGUGGUCUAUUACCUGGUUUAUUACCUGGUCUAUUGCCUGGUCUCCCGCGUGGUGCCUGUUUGAGUCGCUAUCUGUCUGCCCGUGUUCUCCACCUUCCAUUACGGUCUGUGCAGUAACGAGGAAACUGUCGAGGAAAAGUUUGUUUAACCAUUUUCUUCACAGCCACUGGUGGUCUCCUGUAACUCCACCCGUCUGGCACCGACACAGGCUGGAAACAAACGCGCCCGCUGUGAGCUGGCUGUGUCCGUUUGCAUUGAACUUCUUCUCUCUCUUCCCUCUUCUUCUCUGCGUGUACACAAACAUGGUCGCUUGUAGGACUCCCCCCCUCCUAAAUGAAAUCCUGCACACGUUGGCACAAACCAAGCGCCCCCCCCGGCCAUGACGGACAAGUAAGUACUGGACGCCUGUUGGUGGUGUCGGUGUAUCGUCCACCCUCGCUGCAUGUCCCAUCCAGUCCUCGUGUGCUUUUGGACCAUCGGAGGGGGCGGAGGAGGAGGGCCGGGGUUAGAGGUCAGUUUUGGCCCCCCAAAGGCCUCAAUGUGUCGCUGUAGGCCAUUCACGUGGAUACGGAGUCUGAAACCAGAGGGGGGGACACGAGGAAGCAGCCAGUGGAAUAUUAUCUUCAAUGUAUUAAGACAUCUGCAUAAAUAAAAGAUCAGAGCAAAUUCAGAGUUUCAUUUUAGUGUUUUUUUGAGUUGAAACAAAGCAUCAGACCAUUAUUGAAUAAACAAAGAUAACUGACAGGUCAAGGGUCACCUCCUGCAGGGUAAGGCCUUUAAAACGUUAAUGGUAAAGUAAGAAUGUAAGAAUAAAAGUUGCGUUAACGGGAGGAAAGAACCCCGAGGAGCAAAGUGUAUUUGUCUCCUCUGUUUCUGCGGCGAUCAGCUGCUCGUCCCUCCUCUGGUUUAUGAACCGGCUCCCGAUGACGAUCAGCUGGAACCACAGCGGCAUGUUGAGGGUCUGUGCUGCGUUCAGAGGCCGUGGGUCAUUGUGCUUCUUUGUUCUGGAUCAUGUUGUCGGGUGUGAACAGUACACCUCCUGUCCUCGGAUACCUGCCGAGUUUACUUUGGUCCAACUUCACACAAACAGAUUCCCCAUCAGUUCAUUGUAAAAACAGCAGGUGUUGAACCUCUAAUGAUAAAGAUAAAUAUAUCAUCUCGCUUUGUUACAUCACAUGAACCCUUUCUGCUUCAGUUCUUAGUCAAUCCCUGUCGCCCUCGUCCUAAAAAGGAUUUACGAGUGAUGUAAGUAGUAAAUUCGAGUGUACGGCCUGGGUAUCUCCAUGGCGACUAACAGUAAUAGAAUAACAUGACUGUAAAUGGAACAUAACGUAUACGAUGUUAGUGUAUUAAUGAAAAUGUAUUCAAUCAAAAAUGGGACAUGGUGCACAGUAAGCGGAUGUCCACCAGACUUGAGUCAUGUGUCCAUGAGCAUAAAUAUAAAAUUUGGGGGUCUUUUUGUGAACACAGCGCCCCUGCCGGCAAUCAGUUUCCAUUCAGGCGGAGAGCGGUACUGCAGCACAAAAUACAACAAAAUUAGACUUUCUUAACCAAUUAAUUAUUUUUUGGGAAUUGACAAACAUAAUAGUUUGUCCACUGUUGACUCCCGUUCACGGCGUCCUCAGAGGGGCUGGAGCUGUACUGAUCAUCAGGAUCUUCGUGGUGGCGGUUCAUGGUGACGUGUUUUUAUGUGCCGGCUGCGAUUGUGAGUCUCCUCAGGUUCUUUGUGUUUGCAUAUUUUCAUCGUGUGUUGAGCAGAAACAAGUGAAUAUGUGACAGAGUUGUGACGAGAGAUCUGGUGUAUUUGUACCGUUUAGAGGAUGUUUUCUUUGUAGUAAAAACAUCAUCAUCCACCUGGUCUGUGUGUACGUAGACUUCAUGACAUACUGAAGCUACUGAGACGCACGGUGGUUGGUUUACUGCAGCUGUGUGAACCCAAAAUAUUAUUAUUAUAACAGAUUAAAAUGAUGCAGAAAGAACUAUGCUAAUAAAGAAAAAAAGCUUGUGCUUCAUCGGGUCUUCGUCCCUUUUAAAACGCUUGAAUGGAGUCUGGUUUGAUCGGUGCUAAGCUAACAUUGUAGCAUCAACACUCCACGUCACAGGGGAGUAAAUACUGCAGUUGUUUUUUGUACCAAAUGGGUCAUUAUACACACACGUGUUCACAUGGUUCCUGCUGCUGUCUAUGGCAUCCGUUCACGUCUCCUCCUCUUCAGGAAUUAGGAGCAUUUAUUGCCAAAGUAUGUUAAAAUACGAGGAAUUUGACCUGGUGAUUGCUGCAUUGGACAGUAAGACAAUGAGACAAUGGACAAGACAAAUACCACAGUGCAGGGACAAUUGCGUGAUCCAUUUACACUCUAAAUAUAUAGUAUAGAAUAUAACCCAGAGGGAUGAAGAAUAGACUUUCUUUAGUGCGUGAGGAGCUGCAGUGAACUGAAAGACCAGCAGGGGGAGCUACAGGACGGCUGUGAAGAAACAACACACACACUCAGAGAAGUUCUUCUAGUCGUGAACAACAAUGUAUUAACUGAAAUAAGUUAUAAUUACUGAACUACUUUCAGGUCGAAAAUGAUUGAUUCAGUUCUUGAAUAGUUUUGAAUUAAAAUUAGUAUUUCCUUCUUCACUUAUAUAUUUGAGGUCCUAUAUUUUUCAAGUAGCGCAGGUCAUGUACUUCUGCUUAGCGAGCUCUUUUGGGCUCUAUACAAAUCGCACAAUUAUAACAAUAAUCUACACCAAAUUGUAACGUUCAACAGCCAUGCUGGAUCCCCAAAGUUUCCACUUAGCACGGUGCGAUCAGGUGAAUGUGGUGCAUAUUAUAUUAUAUUAUAUAGCAUUAUAACCCCAUCAAACACACAUGGUAAUGAGCCAUAAGCAUCUACCAACAUGGAGAUUUUUGAAUUCGGACGCAUUUGGAACAGCUAAAGCUAAAGCAACUUGAACCUUGGUGGUGGUUUGUCUCCUGCUUUAUGGUCUAUUAGAGACCUGUCAAUCAUGUGUGGCCCCGCCCUAAAGUGUCCCCUGCUUCAUGAGCAGAGGAG